ACAUCCAGCGAACUUGGCAGAGAUGCCUUGGUGCCUUCGGGAACGCUGAGACAGGUGCUGCAUGGCUGUCGUCAGCUCGUGUUGUGAAAUGUUGGGUUAAGUCCCGNAACGAGCGCAACCCUUAUCCUUUGUUGCCAGCGAUUCGGUCGGGAACUCAAAGGAGACUGCCGGUGAUAAACCGGAGGAAGGUGGGGAUGACGUCAAGUCAUCAUGGCCCUUACGAGUAGGGCUACACACGUGCUACAAUGGCGCAUACAAAGAGAAGCGACCUCGCGAGAGCAAGCGGACCUCAUAAAGUGCGUCGUAGUCCGGAUCGGAGUCUGCAACUCGACUCCGUGAAGUCGGAAUCGCUAGUAAUCGUGGAUCAGAAUGCCACGGUGAAUACGUUCCCGGGCCUUGUACACACCGCCCGUCACACCAUGGGAGUGGGUUGCAAAAGAAGUAGGUAGCUUAACCCUCGGGAGGGCGCUUACCACUUUGUGAUUCAUGACUGGGGUGAAGUCGUAACAAGGUAAGCGUAGUGCU
rnacentral:rRNA from 1 species